ACUAGUUUGCAACAGAAAAGAAUUGAUAACUCAAGUUAGGAGAGAAAUAGGAGAGAGAAGCUUUUAGAAGAGGAGAAAAACAAGGAAAUUGGCAGGGGAAGAUUGCUAUGAAAGGCAGUUAACAAAGAAAUACUAAGAAUAUUUACCAUCUGGAAAUGCGAGCUCAAUUUGAGACAAGAAUAUUUUAUAUAAAUAUCAAAGGACGCCAGUAAAGACAGAAAAUGGCACAUGAGAAAAAUAAUCCAGAGGCACAUAACAGCAAAGUCAAGGGCAAGGCGUGAUGUUGUGGCACACGAAGGAUGCGAAGACUAGUUCCCGUAGCGAGGAUGUUUACAAUAAUAAUAGCAGUAGUUUUUACUUUUGCACUUAUCAUUGUAAUUUUAUGAAAAACUGAGUGGAAGUGUAAGAUCGGCCCCGGAUUGGUGGGGCGAGUUAUGUAACGUUAGACAUGUAUGCUAAGAUAGUGUGACGGCCUAGAUUCGGGAUAUACGGAUCUGGGGGCGUUACAAAUUUGGUAUCAGAGCUGUGUUAUAUUCUUAGGACACGGGAACCCGAGGAAUAUAACGAGAGAGUGUGACGAUAAUACAAGAGAUAAGAUAUAUGUAUAUGAUAGUUAUACAUCGACGAGAGCAUGCAAAGGUAUAUAAGA